rnacentral:rRNA from 1 species
CCUGUUGGACACACCAUCCUGAACAUACUGUUUCUGAUCUAAGCAGGGUUGGGCCCAGUACUUGGACGGGUAACUGCUUGGGAAUACUGGGUCUGAGUGUU